AUUGAACGCUGGCGGCAGGCUUAACACAUGCAAGUCGAACGAGUGGCGGACGGGUGAGUAAUGCUUGGGCAUCUAGCUUAUGGAGGGGGAUAACUACGGGAAACUGUAGCUAAUACCGCGUAACAUAGGAUGAGCCCAAGUGGGAUUAGGUAGUUGGUGAGGUAAAGGCUCACCAAGCCGACGAUCGCUAGCUGGUCUGAGAGGAUGACCGGCCACACUGGGACGGAGACACGGCCCAGACGCCUACGGGAGGCAGCAGGGGGGAAUAUUGCGAAAUGGGGGCAAGUUGACGGAGCAAUGCCGCGUGAGUGAAGAAGGUCUUCGGGUUGUAAAGUUCUGUCGGUAGCGAAGCGUUAUCUACAGAAGAAGCAACGGCUAACUCCGUGCCAGCAGCCGCGGUAAUUC
rnacentral:rRNA from 1 species